UUUGCAAUAUCAGCUGGCCUUGUUUCUUGCAAGCAGCUUAUGGCCUUGAGUUUGCUCACAUGAUCUUUCUUUCUUUUUUCUAUCACUGUGAGAAGUUUUUCUAACACAACACAGUAAUAGUUUUGUUAGUAGCUCAAAUUAAGUGAACGUGGCACUAACCAGAUGAAUCAGAGGGAUAAAAUGAUUGGAUAUAUUAAUGAAAGGUAAUUGUAAUAGAGUCCCGGCUGCAACUCUGUUACUAGGAGGGUGUCGACAGCUGAAGAUAAUUAGCACCUGUCGGGGAAGAGGCGCACCACGCCCUCUGGAGCCAAUGAGGCUCAGGAAGGAAGGAUAAGAAGCAGAGAAGACCAGCGAGAAGUUGCCUUCAGGCACCAACAGAUUGAGAGAUGCUGGCGAGGAGCUCUGCGGCGAGGGAUCCAGAGGAGGACCCAGAAGCAAGGGCUCACUCUCCCAAACGGUGACGGGAUUCCAGGACCGAUCACCCCCUCCCCGCUACGUACUUGAAACCCUCAGCAUCUGUGGUGAGUCGCAGGGAACGGCACAGCAGCGCAGAGAAAAGCCGUGGCUCCCUGCCAAGAUGCAGCGGGGCUACCCAGGAGGAGAAAGGGGGUGGGGGACACCUGACCCAGCCCUGAAGAGACAGGGCCCUGGCACCCUCACCUGAAGAAGAGGGGGCUGGGAGGCAAAAGACUGGGAAAGAGCCACGAUCCUCACGCUGGCACAAGGUGCAGCAAGAGAAUCCUGGUGCGGACAGUAAUCAGCUGCUAAUGAGGCAAUUAGCAGCGGAUAACUGGGACGUUGUGCGGUACUUACCGACCAAGUAAAUUGAUGGGGAUCAGCUCAAAUACACAGGGGGUCUCCACGGAGGGUCCAACAGGCUGCCCCCUCCUCCCAGUGUUCCUGAAAAGAGUAGUACAAAGACAGAGAAUAAUAAAGCACCGCUACUUUAUCCCAAUCAAGCAUGGUCCUUCCCACGGGUACGUGCGCGGUUAACACCUCCUUCCUCCCCAUUUUAUUUAAGAUCAAAAGUUGUGGCAGGUGAGAAUCUAGGGGUUUAGGAGGUACCCAGCGCAGACACGCUGACAGUGAUAAAGGAGACCAAUGGACAAUGCUUAAAGUAAGACACCGGAAAAAGGCCAAAUUAAGAGGUGUGCUCGUAAUGGGUAUGUUGAACAAAGGAAUAUGCUGACAGGAUAAAAUAUGAAUAAUAUGCUAACUGCAGAUAGACCAAUCCAAAAGCAAGGAGUCAUAAAAGGAGUCAAGUUAAAGAAAAGCAUAAAAGGGGGGAAGUUAAGUGUUGUUAUCAUCAUCAUCAUCAUCAUUAACAUCGUGAAUCCAGCUUUCGACACCUGUCUGGAUCAUCCCAGCCAACGACGCACCCUUUGCUUCAGGAACUGAGUGGCUGUCUUUUCUGUGAGGCAAAGUAACAUCUGGGAUUGGGUUCCUGACCAGGGUCCAGGAGGUUAUAGCUCCACUGCACGACUGGAGUCAAAUAUCCGCUGCCUCCAGUGGCUACCGUUACAUCUCCUCUGCAAGAAAAAAAUAAUCAAACGAAAUGAAAUACAGUCUCAUCGGAGAACAGCCGCAGCCCGUGCCUGUCCGCGGAGAGAGUCAAAGCGACAGUCGGGAUGGAGCCCAGCGUCACCUACCCACGUCCCGCCCUACCGCGUGAGAACACUCCUCAGCAUGUUACUGGACCUCUGCUGACAGCUCCUGCCCCUGAACCCUGGGUUAUUUUGACUUGCUUCUUGAUUACAAAGCAGUUUCCUCUGGAGAGGCCUAUUUGACAGCUGAGGUGGAUGCACCGCUCGGAGACUGGGUUCCCUGCCAGGGACCAGCUGGGCAAGCGUUACAUCUGUCAGGGCAGGAAUGUCUUUCCAAAGAAUUCCCCUUGGUCUGCAUUAGAGAUCUCCUGUAGGCCCCACACUCACCUAGGCUCAUACUGCAGCAGUGCAGCCUUGGGGCAGAGGGCAUUUUCUGACUAAUGUCCAACUUUCUCCAUCUCACUUGCAAGGGGGGAAGCACGUGCCACUCUUUUCACAAGAGUUCUUCCAUUUUAUGUUGCUGGUAGGUAUAUUUUAUUGAACUCAGGAUAAUAGUCUUUGGCCUGAGCAGCUUGUUAAAUGCCAGCACUGGGACUGAUCAUUUUCUGCUGAUUCUGAUAUCUGAGAGGCAGCGAUAUUUUGGGGGGUUAUAGCUUUGAUUGGAUCGAUUGCAUGGCUGGGAGAGGUUUUAGACAAGCUUUGGUGCACAAAGUACUCUUCUUCAGGUUACCAUUUUGAAACAUUAUUUUGAGCUGUAUUGAGAUAUACUCAACAAGCUACACACAGAUCCCUGGCAUCUGCCAUUUUCUCUGUUACAUUUUUUGGAAUUUGUACUGAGUUUUCUGCUAAUUCAUUUGAUUGUGCAGGCCGAGGACUUGCAGGAUGUGGUUACAUUGAGAUAGCAAAGAGAGGCUCUAAAAUGAACCGCUCCUUCAGUUUCCAACUCUCACACUGUGUGCGCGAAUGUCAAGGUCCAGCUCCUGCAGAUAACAGACAGCAGGAGAAAUCCAGCUUCCAUGUUUGUAAGUCAGUGAGUUUCUAGCUCUCCUGGUUGUGGGGAAAAAGUCUAGAAAUGUGACCCAGGGUAUAAAAAUUCAGAAAUCAUAGUACAGGUACAAGCAAUAUGUGUGUGUGUGUUUUUAAGAAGGACCUCACCAUUUCAAGGCAAUAUCAUGAAUUUGGAGGUGGGGGUGGGGUAUGACUCAUGGUUUUUUAUGUUUAGACUUGGCAAUGCUAGGAGCAGUGAGCAAUUAUCUUUUAUUAAACCAUGUGGAAUACCACAGGGAGCAAACUGUA